CUUCCUCAGUCAGUCUGGGGAACCAUCCAGUUUUCCACACCUCCUCAAACUAGGAACCAGAGUUGAAAGGCCAAAGUCACAUUACUUUCUGAGCGAGCCACAGCAAAAGCCCAUAACUUAACUAAAUAUAAAUUGUGGCUUUCUUUCUCUCUUCCAGAAACCUGUAGAAGUAACCGUUGCAUUGAAAGGAAUCCAUUAAUUAUGUAUCUUGAUUAUGGUGGUGAUUACAUGAAUCUACAUGAGAUAAAAUGACACAGAACUAUACAGACUCAAGAUACCAUGUAGGCUUCCCGAUUUAUGGAUAUUGUACCACAGUGAUCUAAGAUGUAACCAAUGGGAGACACUGGAUGAAAGCAAUUAUUUUUGAGGUACCUGUUGUGUGAUCCUUUGGGGCCCUGCAGUUACAAACGUGGUGAAGUUUACAGUCUCUGCAAAUCAGCUCACAAAGAGGCCCUAGAAUUAGCCAAAACCUCUAUUUAACCAGACUGGAAAUAACAACUGACAAGGAUACAGAAUGCCUCACUUGAGGCAUAGAGACACAGAAAUCCUUCCAUGUAGCCGCCCACUUCAUGGCUGGAUCAAGAACCGUACUGAUCACAGAAAUCUUACAUUAAGCCUAUUUCAUGAUAAGAGUAUAAAAUGGAUUACUCUUCAUCAUCGUCACCAUCGUCAUCGUCACCAUGUUAUACUACUACCGUUACACCUCAUUUCCAUUAAAGGAGCUCCAAACAUUUAACAAACUGCUAACCUAAGAAGAAAGUGACUCGCAUGUACUCUAUGAGUGAAAAUGUCACAAAAACUCACAGGACUUUCAUUUUCAUCACAAAUCAAAUGGCAUCAGUAAUCAAGCAGUUUCACAGUGCAUUCUCCAGGAAGAGAAGUGGUGUUUUUAAGCACAGUCCUUAUUGAAAGAUGGCAAGUAAAUGUAUCUGUAUUAUGCUUCCAAAGCUUCAUACCGUUCCUUCCUGGAAUGGUUAUUUCUUUCCUAUUGAGUAGCAGCAAAAUCAUAACAAGCUCCCGUUUUUCAGAUUGGCUGAGCAAUGAGAUAUGUGCGAAAGAUAAAGAAGAACCAAACACACACGCUGCUUCUGCUGGACGGAGGCGCCGUCACAAUUCCUAGGCUAUGAACACUGGAAUGCUGUUUGCUGCACUCACUGACCACAUUAUUGCUCAUCUGGCAUUGAGCACACGCUUCCUGAAACUACUGUGCCUUUUUAUGUGCUUUUCCAACUCCUCAAAUCUGUUUCUUAUCCUCAGUACUUAACACAGAGUUUACAUGGAGCAGACUAUUGGCAAAUGUUUAUGUAGAAAGGAUGAUAAACUGAAUAUUAUUUGACACACAUACAUCCACAUAUGAAGAGAUUUUAAUUGCUCAUAGCUGUCCUAGAAUUGAUCCUCCCUAACCUGCUCGCCUGACUCUUAAAGCAGUGUACUUUUGUUAAGAACCCCAUAAAAAAUAUGUUGCCCAUUCUAAGAAUUACACAUUACUCACGUGUUCCUAUAUGGACCAUGGAACAGGAGUCAGUGGAACCUAACACAUCCUAGACGCUGGGAUAUUGCUGUUCCAAAAAUUAGUUUAUGGUCAAAUUGACUUAACUCUGAAAUGACCCUGAAUAAAAUGCAGUUUUUCCUAAUGAUUUAGAAAGUGAUUACGGUCUUGCAGGAAUUCAGGGUCAUCAUUACAGUUUUGACUCUCCCCACAGAACACAGCAAAAAUAAAUUUGGGUCACUUUAGCUUUUUGGUUGUUUGGACAUUAGAUAUAAUUAACAUCAGUAAGCAUUUGCUGGAUAUUUAUAUAUGCUUUAGUGGGUACUACUGGGUUUAUCAGUCUAUAAUUUUUAAUGACUUUAUUAUGAUUUCUUAGAUGCAAUAUACAUAAGCAAUAUUAAAAAACGGUCUAAAAAUGUGUAUAUCAAUCAGGCACACAGGUCCAAAGCUUAACAUGCUGGAGGUUCAAAUAUAUGAGUUAACUAAACGAGCUAAGCAUUCUCCCCACUGGGCACUAGUCUCAUCAAAGACAGAAAGGGCUGAGAGAACAUGGCUAGAGCUCACUCGGGUUUUAGGUUAGAAAAAGAGCAUAUAAACUCCUAGUUAUUGUGUGUCUUUACCUUCAUACCUCAUUUGGAACCAGGCUCUCCUACUCUCCAUGCUGAAAGGUCCCCUAAUGACUUAGAAGUAGGUUUAAACCUACCUGUACGCUUAGGAUAUGUACAGGAUACCUGUACAUUUUGGAUAUAUGGUGUAUACACAAGCACAGGUCUAGAGUUAGUAAGCCUGUUCCUGUCUAAUACACACCGUGAACUCGACCCAUCGAACUCUCUAGGCCUGCUUUCCUCACUGCAAAAUAAAGGGGCCAGCCUAAAUCAAGGGUUGCCAGAUUCAGUGACCAUCAGAAUUUUCUGGAGAUGUUUGUGAAAAAUGUAGACCCCUCCCCCACCUCUACACUUCAAUUCUGUAGAUCUGGAUUAGGGCCCAGAUUAGGGCCCUGCAUUUCUCCCCAACCAGCCAACUACCAUCAUAGACCCUGGUGAGUAAAAGCUGAGGAUUGCUCCCUGAUUUCUAGGUGGCUCCAUGCUCUAAAAUUCCAACUCUAUUCAAGGGCAGAGGGUGUGCAGACUCUUAAGUGAAAAGCUCAUAUUUUGUCAUGUAGUUUACGUUUUAGGUCUCCAAAAUCAACAUUUCAGGUUCGUAGUCAAUUUCUAAAAAAUUUGCUAUGUGGAAACAACCUGAGUUCAUUUUACCAGUAUUUUUCCAGAGCACUCAUUGUCCCCACUGAGAAGCAUCUUAUUUGGUUUAGAAUUAAAACCUUUAGUCUCCAAAUCCAAUGUAGUAUUUGUUAUUGAAAGAACACAGGAUGAUCAGGAAAGAAGGGUAGAGGCUAGUGGCAUAAUACAGAUUCAUUUUCUAAAAAACAACACAUGCCACUUACUGAAAAAGAAAACAUCUAUUCUUUCAAUUAACUGUAAAAUUUCCUUCUUUAAAGUCAUACUAGCAAACCAUGGACUAAAAAUGUCUGAAACAAUUCACCCCAAAGAUACACAAUCUGGAUUUUACUUUACCAUUGUGAUGUUUUCAACAGGGCAAAAAAUGUGUUUUCUUAAUAACGACUAUUAGGAAAACACACUUUUUCAAGGGUGCCAAAGCUAGACUCUGACAAGCGACAUUAUGGGGAGAGAAACAGAGCUGCAAAGCAGAGACAAAAAAUAAUUAAUUGAAAUAACUAAUUAGAGCUUAUUUACAUAUUAUAUUUUUAUGUACUUUCAAACAGACUUUUCAAUAAUGCUUCUAAAUUAAGGGGCAUUUGUAGUAGGGAACCCUCCACAUAUUGGAUCAAAGCAAAUACAUUCUUCCCAGUCUCUUUUUUGAAACUUUUCAGAGUGUGUUCAAUUCAUAGGAACAAAAAACUAUCUCACAAGAGAACUCACUGGCCUUUUUUUUUUUUUUUUAUUGCUUCCCACCCCACUUCAAAUCUUUAAUGAACACAUGCUCUGAAGAGCUUAGCUUCCCCUGUGGUACUCUUUUGGAAACCAAUGUUACCAUUUAACUGAAAUCCUAUUUGCUGCAUGUACAGUCCAUUUUCCAAAUGGCCUUUCACUAAAGACGCCCAAAAGAUUCGGUUGCUGGGGGUUGAAGCAGAAAUUUUGGCAUAAGGCUCCACAAAGGCGCAAUCUUUCUUCUCACAAGUGCACCUAGUUAGCUCAAUUGGCUGCAAUGCGGUGUUACUGAAGCCGAGAUCUCGAGGAGAAGCCAACCACCUUCUUGCUACUUCAUGACUACCAACUCAGCCCUCUUUCCCCUGACCGGCAGCUGGAAAAUUCAUGGGAAUAAAAGUGACACGAGCUGUGGCUAGAUGCAGGUGAAUCUCUCUCACCAAGGAAAGAACUCACACAAUGCUUUCUAAGUCAGCCACGCUACUCCCUUUACCUAAUUUGGUAAAGCAAAUUUGGUGUUUUCUAUUUGGAAGGUAGAAAGGCUCUAAGAGAAAAACCAGGGGCGGGGGAAAGGAAGAAGAGGAUGUGUCUUCAUUAAAAAGGGAGGAAAAGAGAUAAGAGAGGAUACAUUUUCACUUUUUCCGUUAAAGGAGAAAAGUAAACUGGCACGCUUCAUCACCUCUUCUACUGUAUGCGUGCAGAGGGGAGAGAGGUGGCCACGGGAAGGGCAAAAGGACUGCCUUUGCCUUCCCUCCCCUCUUCUGUCCAGUGCCCCGGCACGGGCAAAUCACCUGUGGUAAGCACUUUGCAAAAUGUGACUCAAAGGCCUGGACUUUUAUCAUAAGCUCUGGAGACCAGAUUUCCCAAAAUGAAGGAAAACAGAAAUGAGGAGUUUCAAGGACUUGCUAUUUUCUAAGAAUCAGAGGGGAAAAAGGUCAUACAGAACUUAGCUCUCCUACUUUAUAGUCCAUAACCAUUGACUGGUCAUGUAAUUGUUGAACAUGUACUUCUUAAAAGAAGGUGUCGCACUGGGUAUACAAUCACAAGUUCUGUUUAAUGAGGCUGGAAUUAGCACAAAGCUGGGCACAGCGUGUUAACAAAGGAUUUCUGGACACAGGGUGGAAGCAGGUUUUGCAGCAUAGCUUGGGAUCCAUCCGAGGAGGUAGAAGCCAAGCAAACCUGGGUCCCAGACUUCCGUCCUCCAUCGUAGGAGAGACUGGAGCUGGGAUGUGAAUGAAACCGACCACAUGUGGGUUCCCAAGUGAACACAGGUAGAAUGAGGCUACAGAAUUCUAGGUCAUGGCGAUGGAAAGGGGUAGAACAAUGAGAAACACCUACUCAGAAAUAAGUGAUCCCAAACGUCUUCCACCUCAAGCAUCCGAGUUGCUCUGUGACUUUGAGACAAAGUGGUGACCCACAAGGUAGGAGACAUCUACUGUGUCAUAAAAAUCAAUUAAAAUGUGACAUAUUUGGAUGGAGAAUCAGGCACA